CUGCUCCCUCUGCAGAGCUCCCAGAAGCCAGCCUGCUAGGAUGCCUCUGUUGCCUGGGUUUCAUGUUUGACUUGGAACAGGCUUCUCAAGACUCCAUGAAGCAGGGAGUUUGUUUAUCAUCAUCAUCAUCAUCAUCAUCACCAUCACUAUCACCAUCAUCAUCAUCAUCAUCAUCAUCACCAUCACCAUCAUCACCAUCACCAUCAACAUCAUCAUCACCAUCACCAUCACCAUCACCAUCAUCAUCAUCAUCAUCACCAACAUCAUGUCUCUAACCCACAAAUUGCACAUCGACAGUAAGACAUGGCCCGCAGUGAGCCUACAAAUGUUACAAGACUCUAAACAUUACAGAAUGGCAUUUUUUU
rnacentral:lncRNA from 1 species